rfam:Myotis davidii contig100566, whole genome shotgun sequence.
GGUGGUUUUCGGGUGAUGCACCCCAGAUUUGGGCUCCCUCCUCUCUGGUUCUGGGGUGCGUCACCCAAGAACAGCC